rnacentral:misc_RNA from 1 species
GAUCUUUAAGAACGGCCCUUGCAAUUGCAAUCCUUUGUUUUUGUCCUCCUGAGAGUUGAACACCUCUCUCACCAACAGGGGUUUUGUAACCUUCAGGCAAACCACUAACGAAUGUGUGUACAUUUGCUGCCCGAGCUGCUUCAAUGACUUCGGCUUCUGUUGCACCCUCUUUACCAUACGCGAUAUUUUCAAAAAUGCUAGCUGCAAAAAGAGCUGGCUCUUGUUGCACCAAACCAAUCUUAAGCCUUAGAGACUUCAAGUUUAAUCUCCUUAUGUCUUUCCCAUCAAUCAUAACUUUUCCACCCGUUGGAUCAUAGAACCUUUCGAUUAAGGCUAUAACAGAGCUCUUUCCCGAUCCACUUGCCCCAACAAGAGCUUGGCUUUGGCCAGCGCGAAUCCUUAGAUUGAGGUCCUUGAACACAGAGACAUCCGGUCGUGAAGGGUAUGCAAAAUCAACAUGACGGAGUUCAAUAUCCCCUCUAAUUGAUUCAACUGGAUCGCCUUCAGGGUCAUCAGGAUCGACCCUGGUAGAGCGAUCAAGAAUGGAAAAUACAGAACCAACAGCUUCAC